ensembl:lncRNA
GGGUCCCUCUAUUAUUGGGGGUUCCUAUGGGGCUGAGAGUCCAUAUGUGAUUGAGGGCGUUCCUCUAGGGUCUGGUAGAUCCCCAUUGGAUUGUGGGGUUUUCUAUGGGAUUUGGGGGUCCCCUAUAGGACAUCAGUGUUCAUAUAGCGAUGGGGGAUCCCUGUCAGGUUUUGGAGAACCCUAUAAGGUCAUGGGGUCGUUAUAGGGUCGUGGGACCACUGUGGGGUUGGGAUGGUGAUGCUUAUGGAGGUGAGGGAUCCCUAUAGGGCUGUGAGGGUCCCUAUCCGAUUUGGGGGUUCCCAUGUGGCAUUAGGGGGUCUCUAUAGGGUUUGAGGAUCCCUAUGGAGUUGGGGGUUCACACAGAAUUGAGGGAGUCCCUAUAGGGUUUGGGGGGGAACCCUAUAGGGUGUGGGGAUCCCUAUGGAGUUGGGGGGUUCACACAGAAUCGAUGGAGUCCCUAUGGGAUAUGGGGGAUCCCUAUGGGGUAUGGGGAUCCCUAUAGGAUUUGGGGGGGUCCCUAUGGCACUGGGGGGUCUUUAUAGGGUUUUGAUAUCCCUGUGGAGUUGGGGGGGGGGUUCACAGAAAGUUGAGGGAGACCCUAUGGGGUGUGAGGGGGUCCCUGUAGGAUUUCAGGGAUCCCUAUAGGGUGUGGGGAUCUUUGUAAGACUGAGGGAUCCCUGUAGGAUUUAAGGGAUUCCUUUAGGGUGUGGGGAUCCCCGUAAGAUUGAGGGAUCCCUAUGGGAUUUAAGGGAUCUCUAUGGAGUUGGGGGAUCCCUAUAGGGUGUGGGAAUCCCUGUAGGGAUCCCUAUGGAGUUGGGGGGGGUCCCUAUAGGGUUUAAGGGAUUCCUGUGGGUUCGCAGACUCUUGCAGGAUUUAAGGGAUCCCUAUGGGGUUUGGAGAUCCCUAUCGGGUGUGGGGAUCCCUGUAGGAUUUAGGGGAUCCCAGUGGGGUUUGGGAAUCCCUAUAGGAUUUGAGGCUCACUAUAAGAUUUAAGGAAUCCCUAUAGGUUUGGAGGAAGGUUCCCUGUAGGAUUUUGGGAUCCUUAUGGGGUCGAGUGGGUCCCUGUAGGUUUUGGUGAUCCCUGUGGGGC